GACGAACGCUGGCGGCGUGCUUAACACAUGCAAGUCGAACGGAAAGGCCCUACUUGUGUGGGGUUCUCGAGUGGCGAACGGGUGAGUAACACGUGAGUAACCUGCCCUUGACUUUGGGAUAACUUCAGGAAACUGGGGUUAAUACCGGAUAGGAGCUCCUGCUGCAUGGUGGGCGUUGGAAAGUCUCGGCGGUUGGGGAUGGACGCGCGGCUUAUCAGCUUGUUGGUGGGGUAGUGGCUUACCAAGGCAUUGACGGGUAGCCGGCCUGAGAGGGUGACCGGCCACAUUGGGACUGAGAUACGGCCCAGACUCCUACGGGAGGCAGCAGUGGGGAAUAUUGCACAAUGGGCGGAAGCCUGAUGCAGCAGCGCCGCGUGCGGGAUGACGGCCUUCGGGUUGUAAACCGCUUUCGCCUGUGACCAAGCGUGAGUGACGGUAAUGGGUAAAGAAGCACCGGCUAACUACGUG
rnacentral:rRNA from 1 species